rnacentral:rRNA from 1 species
GAUCCUGGCUCAGGACGAACGCUGGCGGCGCGCCUAACACAUGCAAGUCGAACGGAGCUGUUUUCUCUGAAGUUUUCGGAUGGAAGAGAGUUCAGAUUAGUGGCGAACGGGUGAGUAACACGUGAGCAACCUGCCUUUCAGUGGGGGACAACAUUUGGAAACGAAUGCUAAUACCGCAUAAGACCACAGUGUCGCACGGCACAGGGGUCAAAGGAUUUAUCCGCUGAAAGAUGGGCUCGCGUCCG